UUCCAGACUCCUACGGGAGGCAGCAGUGGGGAAUAUUGCACAAUGGGGGGAACCCUGAUGCAGCGACGCCGCGUGAGUGAAGAAGUAUUUCGGUAUGUAAAGCUCUAUCAGCAGGGAAGAAAAUGACGGUACCUGACUAAGAAGCCCCGGCUAACUACGUGCCAGCAGCCGCGGUAAUACGUAGGGGGCAAGCGUUAUCCGGAUUUACUGGGUGUAAAGGGAGCGUAGACGGCAGAGCAAGUCUGAAGUGAAAGCCCGCGGCCCAACUGCGGGACUGCUCUUGGAACUGCGCGGCUGGAGUGCAGGAGGGGCAGGCGGAAUUCCUGGUGUAGCGGUGAAAUGCGUAGAUAUCAGGAGGAACACCGGUGGCGAAGGCGGCCUGCUGGACUGCGACUGACGUUGAGGCCCGAAAGCGUGGGGAGCAAACAGGAUUAGAUACCCCCGUAC
rnacentral:rRNA from 1 species